GCCUUCUCUCCUGCUCUGCUCCUCCUCCUGGCUGAGCUCAGGGAACAGGAAUGGGGUGGAGGGGUGGGGACCCACGGGAGGCCGAGGGGGACAGGUGUCCAGAGACCUGGGGUUGGACUCUGAAGUCCCUUCCCCUCCCUAGGUGUCCUGUCUGAGUUGCACAUUCCAUGAAAUCAUUCCUUCCCUUCUUCAUUCUCUUAGUCAAUCAACAAACACUCCCCAGUGCCGUUCCAGUACGAAGCUCCUGACUUGACUGAGGACCAUGAAUUUGGGAACUGCUGACAUUAGAAUUUGAGCCCUGGGACUUCCUAGCUGGGGACUUCUGAAGGUCACCAUCCUCAGUUGUGGAAAGUGGCUUCAGGAUGACACCCAAACCAAUUUAAAGAUGAGAAACACCGGGUCACAGGAAGGCUGGAUCACCCCCAGGAUCAAAUGACAAAGACCAGGGCCUGGCAAGGCAGCAGAGAAGCUG
ensembl:lincRNA Gm13790 predicted gene 13790